UACGGGGGGGGCAAGCGUUGUUCGGAUUCACUGGGUUUAAAGCGUGCGUAGACGGUUAUUUAAGUCGGAUGUGAAAGCCCCGGGCUCAACCUGGGAAUUGCAUUCGAGACUGAAUAGCUAGGGUGCGGUAGAGGGAAGCGGAAUUUCCGGUGUAGCGGUGAAAUGCGUAGAUAUCAGGAGGAACACCGGUGGCGAAAGCGCUCAUCUGGCCCAAUACUGACGCUGAGGCGCGAAAGCUAGGGGAGCAAACGGG
rnacentral:rRNA from 1 species